GCGGACAUGGCGCCUCCACGCCGAAAUCGUACUUGAUUUUUCUCAGGCAGGCUUGAAGACCAAAGCACGAAAAUGGAAGCCUGGGCGUCGCUGCAGAAGGAGCUCUGUGUGCCCUAUUUCAGCAUCUCCCACCCUUUAUCUCCAAGAAGCUUGUUGAACAGGAAGUUGAACAAGUAGUGUUAACCAGCCAAAAGGGGAUCUGGGAAGUUGAAACCCAUAGGUCUGGAGUAACACUCUGCUUCACAAAGGGGUGGGAUGAUUUUGUCCUGCAACAUGGCCUACGCAAUGGAGAUUUUUUACUGUUUAAACACACUGGCUACUCGAGUUUUAAAGUCAGGGUGUUUGGUCUCACUUGCUGCGAGAGAGAUUUCAUAAGUAAAUUGAAUCUACUGUUGACAAUCCUUUUUCUUGUUAAUACUGUAGUAGUGAAUUUGUAGCUUGGGAUCUUGAAGCAAAAGAUUAAGUUACCUGCCGCCUUUUGCAAAGCUAAUGACCUUUAUUGCGAUGCAAGAAUAUGUCUGAAAGGUCCAUGUAGUGAAGAAGAAGCUAGCCUUAAAGUUUGCCCAGGUGGGAGGACUAAAUAUGCUGUCAUUACUAGGGGAUGGUCUAAGUUCAUUGCAGAUAAUGAUCUGAAAGUAGGAGAUAUUUGCACCUUCAAACUCCGUAGCACAGGAAGCAGUUCAAAUGGUGUUGUAUUUGAUGUUGAAGUUCUUCGCAAAUCAACCUAGUUUCUCAUUUGGAGGGAUUCUUUCUAGUGUUCAUCUAUAUACGAAGUUUAAACUCGAGAUCUUUUUUUGUUGAAGUUUGGACAAGAAACUCUACUAGUAGGCCAUUAUGAUGUGAGUUGGGAAAUCUUACCCAUU